CAUGCUCUACUUUAUUUGUACCUAAAAUUUGUUAUUCUGUUUUACAAAGCAUUUAUUGGUACAUCACACAAAGAUGGGUCUCUUGUAAUAUUUUAUUUCUUUUGUUUGUUACCUAUAAAUAUGUCUAACAGAUGCAAGCCAAAACACCAAACAUAUUUUAUUUCAGUUAUGAUAGAGCCAUUCUAUAUAAUUUUGCUCACUUCAAUUGCAGUUGGUGAUGGUGUGCUGACAUCUGUAUUUCAGGUCCGGUGGUAGUCUUUCACUACACCAUAAAAUGGAUUUUCUAACACAUAUAUCCGUUAGAAAUAUUUUUUACAACAGCGAAAAAGCAUUAGAAAUAGUGCGUGAGAAAUUCUGAGCCUUUCAUUUCUAACGGAUAUAUCCGUUAGACAAAUAAAGCAUACCGUUAGUAUAAUAAUAUUUGCUAACGGAUAUAUCCGUUAGCAAUACUUUCGUAACGAAUAGUUUUGUAACACUCUAUCUAAUUGUAACGGAUAUGCCCGUUAGACCCAUAAAACAAACCUCAUUCUUCUUGGUAGAACAUAGUAGUUAUUGUUUAAUACGUUGCCACAAUUAGAGCAAUUGGACUUAUAUACCUGAGUUCUAUGUUUAUGAAGUUCCGUGAAGUAUGAUACAUGAUACUAAUGUUUGCAGCGAUUGUGGUAUUAAUUAUGUUUGUGUGGACCAUUGUGAAAAGGUGGAUGUACGAGAAACUCCGUAAGAAAACAUGUCGAUCUUAACCAAAUAGCCAAAGAUAUCCAAAGAGCCCCAGGUUUGGUAGUACUCCACUGUCGUAUAAAUGGAACACUACCAACCCUGGGGCCCUUUGGAUAUCUUUGGCUAUUUGGUUAAGGUCGACAUGUUUCUUAUGGAGCUUCUCGUACAUCCACCGUUGCACAGUGGUCCACACAAACAUAAUUGUUACCACAGUCGCUGCAAACAUUAGUGUCGUGUACCCUUCUUCACGGAACUUCAUAAGCACAGAACUCAGGUAUAUAAGUUCAAUUGCUCCAAUUGUGGUAACGUACAAAACAAUAACUACUACUAUGUUCCAUUUUCAGACCAGUUACACGAUAAUAACCAAGAAGAACGAUGUAAGUGAUAAGGCAACAAUUAUCUAUCCACCAAAUAAGCCUGCAAAUCACUCAUCAUCAAUCAAGCUUAAUCACAUCUCCAAGAAUCAGCAAGUGCAGCCCUGAAAUCAUAUUGUAAUUAUAUAUAAUAUUCUCUAUUAAGUUUCUAGCUUUAAUCUUGUAAUAGUGAUUGUAACUCUAAGUUGCUAGAUUGUAUAUAUAGGUGCAUAACUAAUACAAUUCAUGAUCACAUUCUAAAGUCUCUU